rnacentral:rRNA from 1 species
GACGGAGGAUGCAAGUGUUAUCCGGAAUCACUGGGCGUAAAGCGUCUGUAGGUGGUUUAAUAAGUCAACUGUUAAAUCUUGAGGCUCAACCUCAAAAUCGCAGUCGAAACUAUUAGGCUAGAGUAUAGUAGGGGUAAAGGGAAUUUCCAGUGGAGCGGUGAAAUGCGUAGAGAUUGGAAAGAACACCGAUGGCGAAGGCACUUUACUGGCGUAUUACUAACACUCAGAGACGAAAGCUAGGGUAGCAAAUGGG